UCCGUUUCUGGAGCGCCUGCACCGGCAAAUGGCGCUUGAGAACUGUUUCAAUAGGUAUGUCUUUUUAUUGAAAUAAAUUAUGAUAAAUAUUUUAAAAAUUUUUAUCCAAUCAGAUUUUUUUUAAUGGUUAAAUUUGAUUAUUUAUUUUUUAAAUUUUUUAUAAUAAAGAUGAAAUUAAGAUGAGUAUAUAUUUUAAAAUAUUAUAAAAAUUUUUUUCGAUGAAAUGGAAUGAGAAAGGUCCAACGGUUGGGAUGAUCAAAGCUUUUUUACGGGACC
rnacentral:lncRNA from 1 species